rnacentral:rRNA from 1 species
UAGGGAAUAUUGCACAAUGGACGAAAGUCUGAUGCAGCGACGCCGCGUGAGUGAUGAAGGCCUUCGGGUCGUAAAGCUCUGUCGUAUGGGACUAACACAAUGAAGGUACCAUGCAAGAAAGGAUCGGCUAACUUCGUGCCAGCAGCCGCGGUAAGACGAGGGAUCCUAGCGUUGUUCGGAAUUAUUGGGCGUAAAGCGGGUGUAGGCGGCUUUAUAAGUCAGGUGUGAAAGCCCAGGGCUCAACCCUGGAAGUGCACUUGAUACUGUAAAGCUUGAAUGUGGUAGAGGUUACUGGAAUUGCUGGUGUAGUGGUGAAAUACGUAGAUAUCAGCAGGAAUACCGGAGGCGAAGGCGGGUAACUGGGCCAACAUUGACGCUGAGACCCGAAAGCGUGGGGAUCAAACAGGAUUAGAUACCCCAGUAGUCCCUGAGCGGGCUGGCAAGGCGCAU